GCCUGGGUGGCUCAGUCGGUUGAGCGUCCGACUUCGGCUCAGGUCAUGAUCUCGCAGUUCGUGGGUUCGAGCCCCACAUCGGGCU
rnacentral:tRNA from 1 species